AGAUUGAACGCUGGCGGCAGGCCUAACACAUGCAAGUCGAGCGGCAGCACGGGUACUUGUACCUGGUGGCGAGCGGCGGACGGGUGAGUAAUGCCUAGGAAUCUGCCUGGUAGUGGGGGAUAACGCUCGGAAACGGACGCUAAUACCGCAUACGUCCUACGGGAGAAAGCAGGGGACCUUCGGGCCUUGCGCUAUCAGAUGAGCCUAGGUCGGAUUAGCUAGUUGGUGAGGUAAUGGCUCACCAAGGCGACGAUCCGUAACUGGUCUGAGAGGAUGAUCAGUCACACUGGAACUGAGA
rnacentral:rRNA from 1 species